rnacentral:lncRNA from 1 species
ACGCAGGCACAACCUUGAAAUAUUCCUGUUUACUUGUUCAUGCAUUUUGUUUUACUAGUGUUUUGGUUCCUCAGAGUGCUGCUGAAGGAGAGUAAAAGAGUCCAUUGCCCCACUGCACCUCUACAGCAGUAAGUAUCAUCCCUAGAAUUAAGAAUUAUCCACCAAACUCUUUAUUAGCUGAACCAGGGUGUUGCUGCUGGGCUGGAGCUAAAGCCUGCACUCCCUAUAGCUCUGCAUGACUCUCUGUGACUGCAUCACACAGAUGCAAACAGUUAUUUUUGUAAGGAGUGCAAUAAGUAAAUCUAGUGAAGGAAAAUGUGUUCCCUCCCACAGAGUGAAGAGGAAGUUGAAGUCGGAGAAGAAACAGUCCUCUUUGGGCAGUGGGCCAACUGUUCCAGGGACCUCCAGUGGGCCUGUGGAGCCUCAGGUUUUCCUAGGAGUUCAACCCCAGAAUGGAUCACCUCUUCUGGGCUCAGGCGUAUCCACAACCCCCCAGAAUCUAGAUGACUCUCUGGACCAGGGUCGCAUCCUCACACCCCCCUCUUUAGGAGUUGUGAAGGAGGAGCUAGCUGAGCUGAGGGGGGAGGAGAGUUGCAGGGCUGAUUUUGGUUUCCCCACCACUGUGUUGACCCCCUACGAUGAUUUGAAGCCUGUCAGCAUGUCAGCCAAUGCCAACACACAUGCUCAGUCAACAACCGCAAACACACACCCUCAGCCGAACACUCACUCCCAGUCUCCUCUGACCGUGCUAGCUGACCAGGCGCUGGUGCAAGUCCACAUCCACAAAGACUACAUUUCCCAGGGGCACCUAGCAGUGAUGCCGGACCUUUCACUCCAGAACGGCCACCCUCCUCCACCACAGAAGAAGAAGAAGAAACGGGUUUCCGAGGUGUCUGCGCUGAGCUUGCCUGCUCCAGGUCUUCCUGGAAUCCCUCUACUCCAUGCCCUGGGUUUCCCACUCUCCGCCUUUGGACCAGGAACCAUGGGAACACUGACCCAGUCACAACAUUCCAAAGACGCCCUGGUCACCAGCACCGCUCCCAGAACGUUCUACCACGGACUCACGCACAGUAAGUGUGUGUGUGUGUGUGUGACGCAUCUACGGUUGUAUUUAGCGUUCGAGGGUAUUGGCCUGUGAAAAUGCCCUGUCAAUGUUCAAAUGGACUUCACUUACUAGAGGCACUGUUGAAUUAAAGGGAAGCUCACACACUCUCUUCAUCCUUCCCUUACGAAAAAAAGACUGCAGUUAAACUGCAGUAUGCAGCAAUCACUGCGUUCAAAAUACCGUAGUCUUUGUAAGGGUUUCUGCACUCGUCUCUCCCUACGCCUCUCUCAGGAAUAUUACAUUUUUUUUUACCUUUAGUCAUCUGUCCUCUUCAUUUUCUCGUUUAACUCAACACCAGGUAAACUAACUGUAACAUGAUACCUGAUCAUCCUAAUCAUGAUAAAUCACAUCAAUAAAUAUAUUGAUUUCCUGAUCAUCCUAAUCAUGUUAUCACGGCAGUACAUAUAUUGGAUUACCUAAUCAUGUUAUAGCACAUGAAUAAAUAUAUUGAUUACCUGAUCAGAUGUAUUGAUCAGAGAAGUAUUGGUUUUUAGAUGGCAGCCAGCUGGUGGGAGAGGGACCCAACGCUCAGAGAAAACUACAGUGAUCCAAUCCUCCGACAGUGAACAUCUAGAAUGGAUCCAGAAUGGAGACGUGCAGUGUUAAAAAAAAAAUAUAUAUAAAAAAAUGUGGGGGGGGGGGGGUGCAAAUCAGAACUGGAUGUAAAGGCCUAUUGAGCCUGGAAUAAUGAUCUUGGAAUGGACACCUAUAAGACAGUGGAUCUUCUGCGCUCCUGCUGAACAGAUUUGAUGGAACAUUCCUCGUCAGCACUGGGAUGGGGUGAACUUUUAAAUGGGUCACAGAGCUGCAUGUAUAUCACUGGCUAGCACGGUGGUGUUAUGAGGAAUGUUACACUUACUGAAUUGAAUGUAUUGUUGCCAUAUUAAGUAUUAUUGAUAGUUUGUAUGGCCAAUCAAAUAAUGUAACCACAUUGGUAGCACGUUGUAAUAAAGCAUUUCAAAUGAAAUAU